rnacentral:rRNA from 1 species
UGACCUCGGAUCAGGUAGGACCC